UGGUGCAGAGAGGAGGACCCGCAGACUGCAGCUCCCUCUGCCCCCUUGGCCUCCUGCCCGCCCCUUACCUGACUUCCUGUUUCCCUUGUUGAAGGAGGAGCCAAGGAAGGUGUGCUUCACCUAUGACCUGUACCUGAACCUGGAGGGCAACUCGCCAGUCAGCCACCUCCGUUGUGAGAAACUGACCUUCAACAACCCCACCUUCGAGUUCCAGCGCAAGCUGCUGAGGGCAGGGGCGAGAUGACACCUUCUGGCCAGAAGGAAAACGGGCAGCGCUGGAGGUCAGAUACCGCUCAGACUUCCCGUGGCCAGAGCACUGCUUUCACGACUUUGAUCACCACAGCCGGGGCCAGUACCAGGACCACAUGGCCGACAGGAGGGAAGGUUCCAGGUCAGUGAUGGGCGAGGGAGUUGGGCAGGUGAGUAAACCAAGGUGUCGCUCCCAGGUGGGGGGUGCUAGUGGGUGGCCUAUGUCCUUGGUGGUGUGUGCUGGAGAGCCAGUCACUCAGUCAUGGGCUCAGGGGCACGGAAAUGUCCCUUCCGACCAGCAGUUAAAAGUGCUGGUGUUUGAUUGCUCUGAUUUUUGAGUCUGUGUUUUUCAAGUACAUGGGGGUCAUUGUUGCUUAAUUAUAUCCAGUAGGAACUGCAAGUAUCUAUUGGUUGCCCCUGCUUAACAUGCCUUUUACUCCAGGUACUGCAGGGGUGCCCCAGAGCCCCCCCAAUAGUACCUCCACAGUCAGCUGGUGAGAGGUAUGGGUAUUUAUCCAGUCCAGCUUUGGGGGUUCCUUCUGUUUCUGGCUCUUUACUGGGCCCUGGGAAUAUGAAGGCCACAAAAGCAGCCCCUGAGUUUGGUCAUCUGCGGUGCCCUGGGAGUUGGGUGUAGGGCAUUGGCAUGGGGGAAGGGGGAGAAGGGAUGGCCUCCCCAGUAAAGGCAGGGGACAGGCAUCAGAACAGUGGCUUUUCCAGUUGUUGGGGUAUUUUUUGCAAGAUUGUCGCAGGAGAUCAUCGCAGAUCUCCUGAUGCCUGGGCCUCUUGGGUUCCCGCGUCUGUGCUUGGCUGGGGAGGGGUAGAUACUCCUGUGUUUGCUUCUGGGUGUUGGGUAGUGAGCGAGGCCUGUGCCUUCCCUCCCCACAAAGACCCGCCCAAAGUCUGUGAUGGAGAUGGGGAGGGGGUAUCCUGAGAGGGCCGGAGGACACAGCAUCAUGAAGAGUAAAGAGAGAGACACCUCCCCCCAGGAGUGCCCUUUGUCCUUGGAGAGGAGGAGGCAUAUGGCUAUGGAGGAAAGCCAGGUCUUGGUCACUGUUUUCUUAAUGACCCUAAACAGGGCCAUUGAGCCCCAGAGAGGACAGGGCUGUUAAUACUCAAUGGCAGGCCAGAGGGGUGUCCACGGAUGGGUCCCCAUGAGUACGUCGAGAGGGAGACACAGCUUUUGGCACACUCAGACUCUUGAGCGAGCAGGAUGUUGGGGGUCAGGGGCUCCACAGAAGUGCCUGUCACUGUCCAGGCGGGAGCAGAGCAGCAGUGACUUUGGAGCUCCCCAGAGGCCUGCUCAGGAUCCAUGGUUAGAGUGCCCCCUGUCCCCCUUGUGCCUUCCAGCACUACUCUGACGAG